rnacentral:rRNA from 1 species
CCUACGGGAGACUGCAGUGAGGAAUAUUGGUCAAUGGACGAGAGUCUGAACCAGCCAAGUAGCGUGAAGGAUGACUGCCCUAUGGGUUGUAAACUGCUUUUAUAAAGGAAUAAAACGAGGCACGUGUGCCUUGUUGCAUGUACUUUAUGAAUAAGGAUCGGCUAAAUCAGUGCCAGCAGCCGCGGUAAUACGGAGGAUCCGAGCUUUAUCCGGAUUUAUUGGGUUUAAAGGGAGCGUAGAUGGGUUGUUAAGUCAGUUGUGAAAGUUUGCGGCUCAACCGUAAAAUUGCAAUUGAUACUGGCAGUCUUGAGUACAGUUGAGGUAGGCGGAAUUCGUGGUGUAGCGGUGAAAUGCUUAGAUAUCACGAAGAACCCCGAUUGCGAAGGCAGCUUACUAAACUGUGACUGACAUUGAUGCUCGAAAGUGUGGGUAUCAAACAGGAUUAGAUACCCUUGUAGUC